rnacentral:piRNA from 1 species
UGAUUGUUGAAUGAAUUCAGGCGACACU